AACUCUGCAAUAAGCGAAAGCUUGACAGGGUUAUUCUGAGUGAUUUCCGCUAAGGAAAUCUUUUGGCACCUCUAAAAAUGGUGCAGAAUAAGGGGUGGGCAAGCCUGGUGUCAGCCGCCGCGGUAAUACCAGCACCCCGAGUGGUCGGGACGAUUAUUGGGCCUAAAGCAUCCGUAGCCGGUUCUACAAGUCUUCCGUUAAAUCCACCUGCUUAACAGAUGGGCUGCGGAGGAUACUAUGGAGCUAGGAGGCGGGAGAGGCAAGCGGUACUUAGUGGGUAGGGGUAAAAUCCGUUGAUCCAUUGAAGACCACCAGUGGCGAAGGCGGCUUGCCAGAACGCACUCGACGGUGAGGGAUGAAAGCUGGGGGAGCAAACCGGAUUAGAUACCCGGGUAGUCCCAGCUGUAAACGAUGCAGACUCGGUGAUGAAUAGGCUUCGUGCCUAUUCAGUGCCGCAGGGAAGCCGUUAAGUCUGCCGCCUGGGGAGUACGGUCGCAAGACUGAGACUUAA
rnacentral:rRNA from 1 species